rnacentral:rRNA from 1 species
GACGCGAUAAGCUGCGAAAAGCCGUGGGGAGCCGCAAGUAGGCAUCGAUCCACGGGUCUCCGAAUGGGGCAACCCCAUGCGAGCCAUGUCGCAUGAUCCGAAAGGAAGACAACCCGGCGAACUGAAACAUCUAAGUAGCCGGAGGAAAAGUAAACAAAAGUGAUUCCCCCAGUAGCGGCGAGCGAAACGGGAAGAGCCCAAACCGGGGGCCCUCGGGCCCCCGGGGUUGAGGACCGGCAGCAAGCUGGCCCGUCCUAGCGGAAGUGCCUGGGAAGGCACGGCGGAGAGAGCGAGACCCUCGUACGCGAAAGGACGGCAGGCGGGCCGGGAUCCAGAGUACCACGGGGCACGAGGAACCCUGUGGGAAGCCGGGUGGACCACCAUCCAAGGCAAAACACGACGAAACGACCGAUAGCGCACAGUACCGUGAGGGAAAGGUGAAAAGAACCGCGGGAGCGGAGUGAAAGAGAACCUGAAACCGUAUGUCUGCAAGCAGUCGGAGCGCUUUGCAUGCGCGACGGCGUGCCUAUUGAAGAAUGAACCGGCGAGUUCAUCCAUGCAGCAAGGUUAAGCGGGAGACGCGGAGCCGAAGCGAAAGCGAGCCUGAACAGGGCGCGAGUUGCAUGGACGAGACCCGAAACCACAGUGAUCUAUGCAUGGCCAGGCUGAAACCCAGGUAAGAAUGGGCGGAGGGCCGAACCCGUGAGUGUUGAAAAACUUUGGGAUGAGCCGUGCAUAGGGGUGAAAUGCCAAUCGAACGUGGAGAUAGCUGGUUCUCCCCGAAAUAGCUUUAGGGCUAGCCUCAGGCGCGCCUAUGGGCGGUAGAGCACUGAUCGGGCAAGGGGGCGUGAAGCCUGCCGAACCCAGUCAAACUGCGAAUGGCCAUAGGCAAGGCCUGGGAGUCAGAACGCGGGUGAUAAGACCCGCGCUCGAGAGGGAAACAGCCCAGACCGCCGACCAAGGUCCCCAAUGCUGUACUAAGUGGGAAAGGAUGUAGGACUUCAAAGACAACCAGGACGUUGGCUCAGAAGCAGCCACCAUUCAAAGAGUGCGUAACAGCUCACUGGUCGAGAGGCCCUGCGCCGAAGAUAUCCGGGGCUCAAGUACAGAACCGAAGUCGCGGCAUGCGCCACCGGCGCAUGGGUAGGGGAGCGUACGAUGCAGGACGAAGGCCGACCGGAAGGACGGCUGGACCGCAUCGCAGCGAGAAUGCCGGUAUGAGUAGCGAAACGGCGCGUGAGAAUCGCGCCCACCGAAAGCCGAAGGGCUCCUGGGCAACGCUCGUCGCCCCAGGGCAAGUCGGGACCUAAGCCGAGGCAGAAAGCAUAGGCGAUGGACAGCAGGCGAAGAUUCCUGCACCGCAUGGCGUCGUUUGAGGAUGGAGUGACACAGCAAGGAGCUUGGGCGCGCGGCUGGAAGAGCGCGUCGAAGGCGGUAGGCCGCAUGGGAGGCAAAUCCCCCAUGCGAAAGGCCGAGAGCCGACAGACAGGCCUGCCCCUCGGGGCAGGCCGAAUCCAAGCGCACUACACUGUCGAGAAAAGCUUCUAACGAGACGGCAUGCGCCCGUACCAAGACCGACACAGGCAGGCGGGGAGAGAAUCCUAAGGUGCGCGGGAAAACCCUCGUUAAGGAACUCGGCAAAAUGCAUCCGUAACUUCGGGAGAAGGAUGGCCGGGACCGGUGGGGCCCCUUGCGGGCGGAGCCGGGGCCGGCGGCAGAAGAGAAGCCCAAGCGACUGUUUACCACAAACACAGGUGCCUGCCAAAGAGAAAUCUGACGUAUAGGUGCUGACACCUGCCCGGUGCUGGAAGGUCAAGGGGAAGGGUCAGGCGAGAGCCGAAGCCCCGAGCUGAAGCCCCAGUAAACGGCGGCCGUAACUAUAACGGUCCUAAGGUAGCGAAAUUCCUUGUCGGGCAAGUUCCGACCCGCACGAAAGGUGUAACGAUUUGGGCGCUGUCUCAACGGGGGGCCCGGUGAAAUUGAAAUACCUGUGAAGAUGCAGGUUACCCGCGACUGGACAGAAAGACCCCAUGGAGCUUCACUGCAGCCUGGCAUUGGUCCUUGGCAUGUGACGUACAGGAUAGUUGGGAGACGGGGAACGCGGGCCGCAAGGCGCGCGGGAGUCAACGUUGGGAUACCAACCCUCACGUGCUAGGGACCUAACUCCGGGACCAACGGCACCGAGGACAGUGCCAGGCGGGCAGUUUGACUGGGGCGGUCGCCUCCGAAAGCGUAACGGAGGCGCCCAAAGGUUCCCUCAGCGCGGACAGGAACCGCGCGGAGAGCGCAAAGGCAGAAGGGAGCCUGACUGCGAGACAGACACGUCGGGCAGGUACGAAAGUAGGGCUUAGUGAUCCGGUGGAAUGAGAGUGGGAUUGCCAUCGCUCAACGGACAAAAGCUACCCUGGGGAUAACAGGCUAAUCUCUCCCAAGAGUCCAUAUCGACGGGGAGGUUUGGCACCUCGAUGUCGGCUCAUCACAUCCUGGGGCUGAAGCAGGUCCCAAGGGUUGGGCUGUUCGCCCAUCAAAGUGGUACGUGAGCUGGGUUCAGAACGUCGUGAGACAGUUCGGUCCAUAUCCAUCGCGGGCGCAAGAUACAUGAGGGAAGCUGCUCCCAGUACGAGAGGACCGGAGUGGACGGACCGCCGGUAUGCCAGUUGUCCCGCCAGGGGCACGGCUGGGCAGCCGCGUCCGGAAGGGAUAAGCGCUGAAAGCAUCUAAGCGCGAAGCCCGUCCCGAGAUGAAGUAUCUCACAGCAGAGGCUGGUAAGACUCCUUGUGGAACACGAGGUCGAUAGGGUAGGCGUGGAAGUCCCGCGAGGGAUGGAGCAGGCUACUACUAAUCAGUCGAGGGCUUGACUUG